GGUGGAUUCCCGAGUGGCCAAAGGGAGCAGACUGUAAAUCUGUUGCGGAACGCUUCGGAGGUUCGAAUCCUCCUCCCACCACCA
rnacentral:tRNA from 1 species